rnacentral:rRNA from 1 species
UACGUAGGUGGCAAGCGUUGUCCGGAUUUACUGGGCGUAAAGGAUGCGUAGGCGGACAUUUAAGUCAGAUGUGAAAUCCCUGGGCUUAACCUAGGAAUUGCAUUUUAGACUGCAUGGCUAGAGUGCGGUAGAGGGUAGUGGAAUUUCCGGUGUAGCGGUGAAAUGCGUAGAGAUCGGAAGGAACACCAGUGGCGAAGGCGGGUCUCUGGGCAGUAACUGACGCUGAGGAGCGAAAGCGUGGGGAGCGAACAGG